CGACCCGAGCGUGAAGUUCGUCAACGGCGGCGUCGUGACGGACUCGCAGACCUGCCAGAGGACCUGCGCGGACGUGGCGACCUGCUACGUCUUCACGUACUACCCCGGGGACGG
rnacentral:SRP_RNA from 1 species